UACGUAGGGGGCAAGCGUUGUCCGGAUUCAUUGGGCGUAAAGAGCGUGUAGGCGGCCAGAUAGGUCAGCUGUGAAAACUCGAGGCUCAACCUCGAGACGUCGGUUGAAACCGUCUGGCUAGAGUCCGGAAGAGGAGAGUGGAAUUCCCGGUGUAGCGGUGAAAUGCGCAGAUAUCGGGAAGAACACCCGUGGCGAAGGCGGCUCUCUGGGACGGUACUGACGCUGAGACGCGAAAGCGUGGGGAGCGAACAGG
rnacentral:rRNA from 1 species